AGAUGUGAGGGCAGUCUGGCUGCAACAUCUGUCACCCCAUUGGUCGCCAGGGUUAAUUCGGCUGAUCUGGCUGGCUAGGCUGGUGUCCCCUUCCUCCCUCACCGCUCCAUGUACAUCCCUUUCGAAGCUGUGCACCUGGUCAAAGAGGACGGCCUUCCCCAAAUAGAUACAAACUGGUCUUUGGUCGAGGGUAUACGAGUAGCUGUGCUCCCCUGCUAGAACCUCCAAACAAGCUCUCAAGAGAAAGAAUGCUGAUAUUUCAAUUCUGAUGACUUGAAAUACAGUAAACACAGAGGUAAAGUU
rnacentral:snRNA from 1 species